ensembl:lncRNA
CCGUAAUCUUAGUAAAAAAUAUGUGAACAUGAUUGCCAUUGUUAGCUAGAUAGAUAAUAAUAUAGAUAGAUAGCUAAAACAGCUGCCUAGCAACAAACAUCUUAAGAAGUUUUUUAAAGAUAUUUGAGAAGUUCGUAAGAACUUGUUAAAACUGGAGCAGCAGCACGGCCAGGUGGACUGGCGACAGCAAGGAGUCAUCAUGUCAGGUAGUCCUGAGGCAUGGUCCUAGGGCUCAGGUCCUCCGAGAGAGAGAAAGAAAGAGAGAGAGAGCAUACUUAAAUUCACACAGGACACCGGAUAGGACAGGAUAAGUACUCCAGAUAUAACAAACUGACCCUAGCCCCCCGACACAUAAACUACUGCAGCAUAAAUACUGGAGGCUGAAACAGGAGCGGUCAGGAGACACUGUGGCCCCAUCUGAUGACACCCCCAGACAGGGCCAAACAGGAAGGAUAUAACCCCACCCACUUUGCCAAAGCACAGCCCCCACACGACUAGAGGGAUAUCACUCAAGUGACGCACCCCUCCUAGGGAUGGUAUGAAAGAGCCCUAGUAAGCCAGUGACUCAGCCCCUGUAAUAGGGUUAGAGGCAAAGAAUCCCAGUGGAAAGAGGGGAACCGGCCAGGCAGAGACAGCAAGGGCGGUUCGUUGCUCCAGAGCCUUUCCGUUCACCUUCACACUCCUGGGCCAGACUACACUCAAUCAUAUGACCCACUGAAGAGAUGAGUCUUCAGUAAAGACUUAAAGGUUGAGACCGAGUUUGCGUCUCUCACAUGGGUAGGCAGACCAUUCCAUAAAAAUGGAGCUCUAUAGGAGAAAGCCCUGCCUCCAGCUGUUUGCUUAGAAAUUCUAGGGACAAUUAGGAGGCCUGCGUCUAGUGACCGCAGCGUACGUGUAGGUAUGUACGGCAGGACCAAAUCAGAGAGAUAGGUAGGAGCAAGCCCAUGUAAUGCUUUGUAGGUUAGCAGUAAAACCUUGAAAUCAGCCCUUGCCUUGACAGGAAGCCAGUGUAGGGAGGCCAGCACUGGAGCAAUAUGAUCAAUUUUUUUGGUUCUAGUCAGGAUUCUAGCAGCCGUAUUUAUCACUAACUGAAAUUUAUUUAGUGCUUUAUCCGGGUAGCCGGAAAGUAGAGCAUUGCAGUAGUCUAACCUAGAAGUGACAAAAGCAUGGAUUAAUUUUUCUGCAUCAUUUUUGGACAGAAAGUUUCUGAUUUUUGCAAUGUUACGUAGAUGGAAAAAAGCUGUCCUUGAAACAGUCUUGAUAUGUUCUUCAAAAGAGAGAUCAGGGUCCAGAGUAACGCCAAGGUCCUUCACAGUUUUAUUUGAGACGACUGUACAACCAUUAAGAUUAAUUGUCAGAUUUAACAGAAGAUCUCUUUGUUUCUUGGGACCUAGAACAAGCAUCUCUGUUUUGUCUGAGUUUAAAAGUAGAAAGUUUGCAGCCAUCCACUUCCUUAUGUCUGAAACACAUGCUUCUAGGGAGGGCAAAUUUGGGGCUUCACCAUGUUUCAUUGAAAUGUACAGCUGUGUGUCAUCCACAUAGCAGUGAAAGUUAACAUUAUGUUUUCGAAUGACAUCCCCAAGAGGUAAAAUAUAUAGUGAAAACAAUAGUGGUCCUAAAACGGAACCUUGAGGAACACCGAAAUGUACAGUUGAUUUGUCAGAGGACAAACCAAUCACAGAGACAAACUGAUAUCUUUCCCGACAGAUAAGAUCUAAACCAGGCCAGAACUUGUCCGUGUAGACCAAUUUGAGUUUCCAAUCUCUCCAAAAGAAUGUGGUGAUCGAUGGUAUCAAAAGCAGCACUAAGGUCUAGGAGCAUGAGGACAGAUGCAGAGCCUCGGUCUGAUGCCAUUAAAAGGCCAUUUACCACCUUCAUAAGUGCAGUCUCAGUGCCAUGAUGGGGUCUAAAACCAGACUGAAGCAUUUCGUAUACAUUGUUUGUCUUCAGGAAGGCAGUGAGUUGCUGCGCAACAGCCUUUUCUAAAAUUUUUGAGAGGAAUGGAAGAUUCGAUAUAGGCCGAUAGUUUUUAUAUUUUCUGUGUCAAAGUUUGGCUUUUUCAAGAGAGGCUUUAUUACUGCCGCUUUUAGAGAGUUUGGUACACAUCCGGUGCAGUCUCAGGACAACUGAGCUUUGAAGGAAUACGCAGAUUUAAAGAGGAGUCCGUAAUUUGCUUUCUAAUAAUCAUGAUCUUUUCCUCAAAGAAGUUCAUGAAUUUAUUACUGCUGAAGUGAAAGCCAUCCUCUCUUGGGGAAUGCUGCUUUUUAGUUAGCUUUGCGACAGUAUCAAAAAGGAAUUUCGGAUUGUUCUUCUUUUCCUCAAUUAAGUUGGAAAAAUAGGAUGAUCGAGCAGCAGUAAGGGCUCUUCGAUACUGCACGGUACUGUCUUUCCAAGCUAGUCGGAAGACUUCCAGUUUGGUGUGGCGCCAUUUCCGUUCCAAUUUUCUGGAAGCUUGCUUCAGAGCUCGGGUAUUUUCUGUAUACCAGGGAGCUAGUUUCUUAUGAGAAAUGUUUUUAGUUUUUAGGGGUGCAACUGCAUCUAGGGUAUUGCGCAAGGUUAAAUUGAGUUCCUCAGUUAGGUGGUUAACUGAUGUUUGUCCUCUGGCGUCCUUGGGUAGACAGAGGGAGUCUGGAAGGACAUCAAGGAAUCUUUGUGUUGUCUGUGAAUUUAUAGCACGACUUUUGAUGUUCCUUGGUUGGGGUCUGAGCAGAUUAUUUGUUGCAAUUGCAAACGUAAUAAAAUGGUGGUCCGAUAGUACAGGAUUAUGAGGAAAAACAUUAAGAGCCACAACAUUUAUUCCAUGGGACAAAACUAGGUCCAGAGUAUGACUGUGACAGUGAGUAGGUCCAGAGACAUGUCAACCCACUGAGUCGAUGAGGGCUCCAAAAGCCUUUUGGAGUGGGUCUGUGGACUUUUCCAUGUGAAUAUUAAAGUCACCAAAGAUUAGAAUAUUAUCUGCUAUGACUACAAGGUCCGAUAGGAAUUCAGGGAACUCAAUGAGGAACGCUGUAUAUGGCCCAGGAGGCCUGUAAACAGUAGCUAUAAAAAGUGAUUGAGUAGGCUGCAUAGAUUUCAUGACUAGAAGCUCAAAAGACGCCUUUGCGGGAUGCACGGGGGAUAUGGUCACUAUUCAUCAGGCCAAUCACAUCAAGAUUAUGAUCAGUGAUUAGUUCAUUGACUAUAAUUGCAUUUGAAGUAAGGGAUCUAACAUUAAGUAGCCCUAUUUUGAGAUGUGAGGUAUCAUGAUCUCUUUCAAUAAUGACAGGAAUGGAGGAGGUCUUUAUCCUAGUGAGAUUGCUAAAGCGAACACCGCCAUGUUUUUGCCCAACCUAGGUCGAGGCAUAGACACGGUCUCAAUGGGGAUAGCUGAGCUGACUACACUGACUGUGCUAGUGGCAGACUCCACUAUGCUGGCAGGCUGGCCUGCACCCUAUUUCAUUGUGGAGCUAGAGCCCUGUCUAUGUUGGUAGAUAAGAUGAGAUCACCCCUCCAGCUAGGAUGGAGUCCGUCACUCCUCAGCAGGUCAGGCUUGGUCCUGUUUGUGGGUGAGUCCCAGAAAGAGGGCCAAUUAUCUACAAAUUCUAUCUUUUGGAAGGGGCAGAAAACAGUUUUCAACCAGCGAUUGAGUUGUGAGACUCUGCUGUAGAUCUCAUCACUCCCCCUAACUGGGAGGGGGCCAGAGACAAUUACUCGAUGCCGACACAUCUUUCUAGCUGAUUUACACGCUGAAGCUAUGUUGCGCUUGGUGAUCUCUGACUGUUUCAUCCUAACAUCGUUGGUGCCGACGUGGAUAACAAUAUCUCUAUAUUCUCUACACUCGCCAGUCUUAGCUUUAGCCAGCACCAUCUUCAGAUUAGUUUUAACGUCGGUAGCCCUGCCCCCUGGUAAACAGUGUAUGAUCGCUGGAUGAUUCGUUUUAAGUCUAAUACUGCGGGUAAUGGAGUCGCCAAUGACUAGAGUUUUCAAUUUGUCAGAGCUAAUGGUGGGAAGCUUCGGCGUCUCAGACCCCGUAACGGGAGGAGUAGAGACAAGAGAAGGUUCGGCCUCUGACUCCGACUCGUUGCUUAAUUGAGAAAACCGGUUGAAAGUUUCUGUCAGCUGAAUGAGCGACACCGGUUGAGCAUUCCUACAGCAUUUCCCUCCAGAAACCGUGAGAAAGUUAUCCGGCUGCGGGGACCUUAUACUAACGUUACUAUCUGUACUUACUGGUGGCACAGACGCUGUUUCAUCCUUUCAUACACUGAAAUGACCCUUGCCUAACGAUUGCGUCUGAAGCUGGGCUUGCAGCACAGCUAUCCUCGCGGUAAAGCGAUCGUUCUCCUGUAUAUUAUGAGUACAGCGACUGCAAUUAGAAGGCAUCAUGUUAAUGUUACUACUUAGCUUCGGCUGGUGGAGGCCCUGACGAACCAUGUCCAGAUAAAGCGUCCGGAGUGAAAAAGUUGAAUGAAAAAAAAAAGUUGAGGGAAAAACCAAAAAUAUAAACGUCCAGGAAAAGUUAUGAGUUGCAAGACUAUGACGGCUCGCGACGACUCGGUCAGAAAGCUCUCCAAGUGGCCAUCGCCUCCAUCAUCAUCGGCCUCCUCAUCAUCGCCAUAUUUAUCAUCGUUCACUUCACCACGUAUAAAUUGUAGAAGAGUUGCGCAGUAUGCCUGGAAAAAGCCAAACAAAGUAAAUGUCGCUCUCAAAGACAUGGACUAUGGACACCUCUCUGAAUGGACUAUGACAAGGGUUCUGGGGCCCCGGAUUUGGCAGUAAUCUCCAUCCUCAAGAACGGAACUCCACUCCAGAUGUGGUAUCCAUCUUUUGUCGCCGUCACACAUCCUCCACACCCAGCCUUUCUACUCUUCUAUCUGGGAGAAGAACUUAAGAAGCAAGACUCUGCUUUUGAAAGACUGUAUGGAACACUGACCUCUGGAUCACAUGAUACCCACAGCACAAACCUCGCGCACGCAUGCACGCACACAGACACACACACAGUUUUGUAUUGCUAUCUUUGUGGGGACCAAAGAAUUGAUUCCCAUCCAAAAUCCUAUUUUCCCUCACUUCUAAAUAUAAUUCUAACCUUAACCUUAAGCCUAACCUUAACCCCAAACCCUAAAACUAUACCUAACCCUAAUUGUAACACUAACCCUAAUUGCAACCCUAACGCUAAACCUAAACCCUAAGCCUACAAUAGCAUUUUUCCUCGUGGGGACCAGCAAAAUGUCCCCACUUGUCUGAAUUUUCCUUGUUUUACUAUCCUUGUGAGGACUUCUGGUAAAUAAACACACAUACACACACAUUAGAAGAGGAAGAAACACCUGCCCAUUCCUGUGUGCAUUUAUUGAUAAUGUGGGCUGUUGGACGAGUGAACAAUUACUUUUUGCAGCGGUAACUGUGUGGUCACUGUAGCACUAACAUGCUGACAAUUACUGUAUUUAUGGUGCUUUCAAGACAACCGGGAACUCUGGAAAAAUUAGGUCAAAUCAUGAUAUCAGGGAUUUUCAGGUCGGAUAGUCAGAGUUCUAGAAGGAUCCCCGAGUGUCCGAAUUGGAAUUCCGAGUUGGAUGACCAUUCAAAACUAUUUUCCCAGUCGGAGCUAUUUUUUUCCAGCUGUCUUGAAUGCACUGAACUGAAGUUGGAAGUAGGAGAUUUCCAAGUACCCAGUUGUUCUGAACGUGGCAUUAUUGUGCCACUUGGGAUGUUUGAUGUGUCAAUCACGUAACUGUCGAG